rnacentral:rRNA from 1 species
CACGUAGGUGGCAAGCGUUAUCCGGAAUUAUUGGGCGUAAAGCGCGCGCAGGUGGUUUCUUAAGUCUGAUGUGAAAGCCCACGGCUCAACCGUGGAGGGUCAUUGGAAACUGGGAGACUUGAGUGCAGAAGAGGAAAGUGGAAUUCCAUGUGUAGCGGUGAAAUGCGUAGAGAUAUGGAGGAACACCAGUGGCGAAGGCGACUUUCUGGUCUGUAACUGACACUGAGGCGCGAAAGCGUGGGGAGCAAACAGG